CUGCCAGGAUAAGUCUGGGACUUUUCUACGGGCCCACCACCCAGGUAAGUCGCCUGCAGCAUCUGCCCUGGGAGCAGCGACACACUCUCUUGGGACUAGCCAGUUUGUCCUCCAGGAAUCAUUUGCCUGCCUGUCUUUGAAUACGUGACUGCAUGUGACAGGCUUUAUUUUAGUAACCUUUUUGCCUGCCCAGGUAAAGAAAGCUGAAAUGAUGGGGCAGGGGGGGAAGAAAGCCCUUUCUGAUGACCUAUUAGAAUGCCACCCACUGGACAACGAGGAAAGCUCAUCUUAAGUCCCCAACAAGGAAACAGGUGGGGAUGUGGGAAAGGAGUAAGGGGAGGCAGAAAGGGGGUUGACUGCCAGCUACCCCUAAUUCUCUCAGCGAUUCCUGGUAAACCGGCUCAUGUCCUUGUGUGGAAAGCACUUUUGACUUCAGGAAAGAUUAUGGGGCCCUAUUCCCGCAUCUCCCCUUCCUUACCUCUACUGUGUUGCGGGGAGCUUUCCUGGACUUCAGUUAUCCAAGAAGGAUCAAGCGAGGCCUUUCUGGAGGGCAGGUGAACCCAAGGCCAUGUGGAGGGCAAUGACCCUUCCCUAGGAAUCUGAGUCUGCAGCCAGCAGGGACUGCAGUGACCUGAGGACAGGGUCCCGCAAUGAGGCUCUGUGUUUCUAACUUCUUUUUUCCGCCUCUCCCCAAAUCGGGCCCCAGAUUUCUACCCCGAAGGUGCGACACCAACCACACCUUUGUCACUCUAGAAAAAUCACAGAAGGUCCCACUGGAAAGGCAUUAGCUUCACAGCUCAGGACAACACCUGAACUGUCAAUUCAGGGGCCCUUCAUGAUUCCAAACUUAUGGGCAGGUGCUGUCGCUAAUUAAUGCUGCACAUCUGCACCUCCACCCCUUAUUUGACUGGCCCAUUAAGCCUUUGGUGAGAAAACGGGGGGAGGGGGAUUGUCGCCUAGGAACUUCACAGUUGACCUAGAAAAGAGGACUAUCCCUAUGAAAAUCACUUUAGAUCUGAUUUUUUUUUUUUAAUCUGAGGCCUGGUCAGGUAAAUGACUACUGGCAAACUACUAAGGGAGGUGUGGAAUCCUUUCCCACGUCUUUUUGUCAUCUUAAAGGACAAAACCAAAACUUGCACACGCACACACAUAACCCUCUUGUUGCUAUGAGACACCUUGUACUAGUCUUCCCGAGGGGCCGGGCGUGGGACCCUAAAAUUUCCAGUUUGGGGGGAGACCCGAGGUUCUGAGUAGUCCAGAACGAGUAGUCUAGAGCGGAGAGUCUGGCUCCAGCUGCGCGAAACAUUUGCUCUCCCAGACUCCCUUGCGCCUGAGCAAUGCAGUGCGCAAGGGAGGCUUGGGUCCCUUCCGGCCAGCGGGGUCCCUCAGGCUCCCAGGGGCGCUGCGUCUUUGAGACCUCUGCAGGCUCUUGACCUCCUUGCCGCUGCGGUGCUAUUCCCGACCCCAAUGGCCAGGGCCCCUCCAGCCCGCAGUCCCCGGGCGCGAAUGGAGAACAGGUCCGCCUUCCAUUGCACUGGGGGUUGGAAUAGGGCCACCAUGAGAUUCCCCUUCUGCAGCUAACCAGCUUCCCUUUUUUUUCCUUCCCGUUCUGUAAUGGUUCUCCUUCGAGCCAGGAGAGAGUGCCGCCCAAACUUCCUGGAGGACCUUGUCCACGUCAUCUGGCUCCCUCCAGAGGGCGCCUGCAGGAUCCAGGAACACUACAUCAACACUCUUGGCGGGGAUCUGGACAUGGAAGACUCCUGUUUCAAGAAAAUAUAAUCAUCUUUCAAAGGCUGUAACUUAUAUGCAUUUCUAACUCACUAGGUAUUGAAAACCACCCAAGUGUCCCACCAUAGGGGAGUAAAAUAGAAUCAAUCACUCAGUGUAAUAUUAUACAUCUUUAAAAAUGUUAUUGGAAAAUGUUAUAUGAUCUGUAAGUUAAAAGAAUCCUCUCCCACCAUUUCUUCCUGCUGUUCCCCCAUACCCAUGCUUCUUUGUAAAGUUGGCAUGUAAAUUUGUUUUUCCCACCAAAUGAGUCAGUCACAAUGGGAAUGUCAAUUGAUUUGAACAGAUGUGUGUCAAUGUUACGUGGAAAAAUAGAUGCCAAUAACCAGGGCCACAGGAAAAUGCAGUGGUUCCAACUCUGUAACAAUUAUACCUACACACAAACAAGGACAAAUGUGGAACCCCAAACAGGAAAACAGUUGCAUAUUCUCCAGUGUGGGGAGAUGGAAGGAUUGUAUACUGCUUUUGAUUUCAGUUAAUACAGGCAAUGUCCAAUUAAAAAAAAAAACCCUAAUAAGGACUCUGCAUUGCAAA